ACGGGAGGCAGCAGUGGGGAAUAUUGGGCAAUGGGCGAAAGCCUGACCCAGCGACGCCGCGUGAGGGAAGACGGUCUUCGGAUUGUAAACCUCUUUCAGCAGGGAAGAAAAUGACGGUACCUGCAGAAGAAGCCACGGCUAACUACGUGCCAGCAGCCGCGGUAAUACGGAGGAUGCGAGCGUUAUCCGGAUUUAUUGGGUUUAAAGGGUGCGUAGGCGGCCCCUUAAGUCGGCGGUGAAAUUUCCGGGCUCAACCCGGUCACUGCCGUCGAAACUGGGGGGCUUGAGUGCGUUUGGGGUGGCUGGAAUGUGCGGUGUAGCGGUGAAAUGCAUAGAUAUCGCACAGAACGCCGAUCGCGGAGGCAGGUCACCAAGCCGCAACUGACGCUGAGGCACGAAAGCGCGGGGAUCGAACAGGAUUAGAUACCCUGGUA
rnacentral:rRNA from 1 species